CUGCUGCCUUCCGUAGGAGUCUGGUCCGUGUCUCAGUACCAGUGUGGGGGACCUUCCUCUCAGAACCCCUACGCAUCGUCGGUUAGGUGGGCCGUUACCCCGCCUACUGCCUAAUGCGCCGCAUGCCCAUCCCUGUCCGGCCGAAGCCUUUCCUGCCUCCGGGAUGCCCCGGUGGCAUGUACGCGGGUUUAGCCCGCCUUUCGGCGGGUUGUCCCCCUGACAGGGGCCAGGUUGCAUACGUGUUACUCACCCGUGCGCCGGUCGCCGGCGGAGAAAA
rnacentral:rRNA from 1 species